rnacentral:rRNA from 1 species
GACGAACGCUGGCGGCGUGCUUAACACAUGCAAGUCGAACGGAAAGGCCCUGCUUUUGUGGGGUGCUCGAGUGGCGAACGGGUGAGUAACACGUGAGUAACCUGCCCUUGACUUUGGGAUAACUUCAGGAAACUGGGGCUAAUACCGGAUAGGAGCUCCUGCUGCAUGGUGGGGGUUGGAAAGUUUCGGCGGUUGGGGAUGGACUCGCGGCUUAUCAGCUUGUUGGUGGGGUAGUGGCUUACCAAGGCUUUGACGGGUAGCCGGCCUGGGAGGGUGACCGGCCACAUGGGGACUGAGAUACGGACCAGACUCCUACGGGAGGCAGCAGUGGGGAAUAUUACACAAUGGGCCGAAGCCUGAUGCAGCAACGCCGCGUGCGGGAUGACGGCCUUCGGGUUGUAAACCGCUUUCGCCUGUGACGAAGCGUGAGUGACGGUAAUGGGUAAAGAAGCACCGGCUAACUACGUG